rnacentral:rRNA from 1 species
GACGUAGGGCGCGAGCGUUGUCCGGAUUUAUUGGGCGUAAAGAGCUCGUAGGCGGCUCGUCGCGUCGACCGUGAAAACCCGCAGCUUAACUGCGGGCUUGCGGUUGAUACGGGCGGGCUAGAGUUCGGUAGGGGAGACUGGAAUUCCUGGUGUAGCGGUGAAAUGCGCAGAUAUCAGGAGGAACACCGGUGGCGAAGGCGGGUCUCUGGGCCGAUACUGACGCUGAGGAGCGAAAGCGUGGGGAGCGAACAGG